AAGACCUUGCGCUUUUGGAGCGGCCGAUGCCUGAUUAGCUUGUUGGUAAGGUAAAAGCUUACCAAGGCUUCGAUCAGUAGCUGGUCGGAGAGGACGGCCAGCCACACUGGGACUGAGACACGGCCCAGACUCCUACGGGAGGCAGCAGUGGGGAAUUUUGGACAAUGGGGGCAACCCUGAUCCAGCCAUGCCGCGUGAGUGAAGAAGGCCUUCGGGUUGUAAAGCUCUUUCAGCCGGAACGAAACGGUUACGGUUAAUACCCGUGAUUACUGACGGUACCGGAAGAAGAAGCACCGGCUAACUACGUGCCAGCAGCCGCGGUAAUACGUAGGGUGCGAGCGUUAAUCGGAAUUACUGGGCGUAAAGCGUGCGCAGGUGGUUUUGUAAGUCAGAUGUGAAAGCCCCGGGCUCAACCUGGGAACU
rnacentral:rRNA from 1 species